rnacentral:rRNA from 1 species
UGGGGAAUUUUGGACAAUGGGCGAAAGCCUGAUCCAGCAAUGCCGCGUGAGUGAAGAAGGCCUUCGGGUUGUAAAGCUCUUUUGUCAGGGAAGAAACGGUGAGAGCUAAUAUCUCUUGCUAAUGACGGUACCUGAAGAAUAAGCACCGGCUAACUACGUGCCAGCAGCCGCGGUAAUACGUAGGGUGCAAGCGUUAAUCGGAAUUACUGGGCGUAAAGCGUGCGCAGGCGGUUUUGUAAGUCUGAUGUGAAAUCCCCGGGCUCAACCUGGGAAUUGCAUUGGAGACUGCAAGGCUAGAAUCUGGCAGAGGGGGGUAGAAUUCCACGUGUAGCAGUGAAAUGCGUAGAUAUGUGGAGGAACACCGAUGGCGAAGGCAGCCCCCUGGGUCAAGAUUGACGCUCAUGCACGAAAGCGUGGGGAGCAAACAGGAUUAGAUACCCUGGUAGUCCACGCCCUAAACGAUGUCUACUAGUUGUCGGGUCUUAA